GGAAACUGCUGGAUAAUCUGCAGCUUGCUUUAGCUUAAAUGUAACAACAGCUGCAUCAACAUUGGGCUGAGGGAAAAAAGCUGACCUUGGGACCUUAAAUUUGUAUUCAGGAUCUGAAUAAAAAUUGACAAAGAUAUUGAUAGGUCGGUAUUCUGACGUUCUUAAGGAUGAUUCCACCAAACGCAGCGCUGUUUCCUCCUGGAGUAAAAGGACAACGUCUGAGAAAAUGUCACCCAUCGGAAGCAAUUGUUUAACUACAUCCGUACUUAUAUUAAAUGGUAUAUUAGAGACUACUUUUGCACAUCUUGGCUUUUGAUCCAAAGAACUUAUGCUUUCAAAAAGCGAGAACAUGUG
rnacentral:misc_RNA from 1 species